AACUAGACGUCUUGAAGGGGAACCUUGGCAUAGACUCUGAGGGCUUUGCCGAUGAGGAGAAACCUGAUGCAAUCCCCAAAAGGGCUUUGGAUAAGACACCCUUGGGUCACAUCAUGGAGGAACCCAAGCCAUCAACCUUCGGGGAUCUCCCCACAUCUCUGCUCCCUCUGAGAGACCUGUCCCCCCACAGAAGGAUUCACUUGGGGGGCAAGGACAACAUAUGGCCAGCAGAGAGGCACCACCAUCCCUGUCAGAUCCCCAAGAGUGACAAUGCCACUGGGCCCAGGCCGAUCUGCAGUAAUGGAAAAGAAGCACCCAACUGGGAGCAUAGCAUCUCCCUCAGGAGAGACCGACUGGCCUGAUCUCCACUUGGCCUAGCAGCCUUCCCUGAGUUGGGCCUGUGCCAAAGUAAAAGUGCCCAGGAGAAGGAGUGGGAAUCGGAAAAGAAUGAAGGCAAAGCAAGCAAUGGAGGAUCCUGAUAGCUGUGUCUCCUGAUCCAUACUACAGUCCUGUAAGUGUUGAAGAACCUCUUGAAUUUGUCUUCCCAGAAGAUGGAGAG